AACGAACGCUGGCGGCGUGCCUAACACAUGCAAGUCGUGCGGGAAAGUAGGGGCAACUCUACAAGUACAGCGGCGCACGGGUGAGUAACACGUAGGUAACCUGCCUUCGAGUCCGGGAUAACCUGUCGAAAGACGGGCUAAUACCGGGUAAGACCACUGGGGCUGCGGCUCUUGGGGCAAAAGGUGGCCUCUGCUUGCAAGCUACCGCUCGAAGAUGGGCCUGCGCGCCAUUAGCUUGUUGGCGGGGUAAUGGCCGACCAAGGCAAAGAUGGCGGGCUGGUCUGGGAGGAUGGCAAGCCACACUGGGACUGAGACACGGCCCAGACUCCUACGGGAGGCAGCAGUGGGGAAUAUUGCGCAAUGGGCGAAAGCCUGACGCAGCGACGCCGCGUGGGUGAGGAAGGCCUUCGGGUCGUAAAGCCCUGUCGGGAGGGACGAAACCUCGGCGACUGAAUGCGUCGUCGACCUGACGGUACCUCCUAAGGAAGCACCGGCUAACUCCGUGCCAGCAGCCGCCGUAAUAC
rnacentral:rRNA from 1 species